GACUGAGUGAGGAUCCCAGGAUUACUGACUGAGUGAGGUUGCCAGGAUUACUGACUGAGUGAGGUUGCCAGGAUUACUGACUGAGUGAGGUUCCCAGGAUUACUGACUGAGUGAGGCUCCCAGGAUUACUGACUGAGUGAGGCUCCCAGGAUUACUGACUGAGUGAGGAUCCCAGGGAUUACUGACAGAGUGAGGUUCCCAGGAUUACUGACUGAGUGAGGUUGCCAGGGAUUACUGACUGAGUGAGGCUCCCAGGGAUUACUGACAGAGUGAGGUUCCCAGGAUUACUGACUGAGUGAGGAUCCCAGGAUUACUGACUGAGUGAGGCUCCCAGGAUUACUGACUGAGUGAGGCUCCCAGGAUUACUGACUGAGUGAGGAUCCCAGGCUGUGCUGUGUAAGGAAGACUUUGCCCCUGGAACAGAAUCCAGAGAAUUGAA
rnacentral:lncRNA from 1 species